CCUACGGGAGGCAGCAGUGGGGAAUAUUGGACAAUGGGGGCAACCCUGAUCCAGCAAUGCCGCGUGUGUGAUGAAGGCCUUAGGGUUGUAAAGCACUUUCACUGGUGAAGAUGAUGACGGUAACCAGAGAAGAAGCCCCGGCUAACUUCGUGCCAGCAGCCGCGGUAAU
rnacentral:rRNA from 1 species